rnacentral:lncRNA from 1 species
CCAGCAUCUGUCAACCUGUGGAUGGAGGAGCUUUCAGCUGGCAUGAUGGACCUCCAGUACCUGCUCAGCGAACUCUCCCAGCAAGAGCACCUGGCCAAUCUGGACAGAGAGCUUCUCCAGGAUAUCCUGCGCUACCUCCACCGCAUUGGCCUUCUCGUGUGCUCCUUGUGAGGGACCGCCUGGUCCAGCAGCUGGAGAGCAUCUCUGUGGACACGCUGAUUGCGGAACAUGCCACCAUCAGGGACAGGUCCAACUGGGUGUGCGCCUUCAAGUCAAAGGCAAUGCUGUGCCACCAGGCAGUGCGUGCUUUGGUGAAGUACCAGCUCUUUUCGGAAGGGAUGCAGGACAUCUUUGAGGAGAUCAUGGGGGACAAGACCCACAGGGGGAAAGGGAAGCUCUUUAGCCUCCUGGAGCACUUUGAGCUCUGCCUGGAGGUGAGGCAAGCCAAAGCACUCAAUCCUCAGGCCAUUGAGUUUGUGCCCGGGAAGACAUGGGAGACAACACAGGACCAAAGCAAGUCCUGGUACUUGUUCCCAACCUACCUAAACCAGACUGAAGAUGUUGCUGAGGUGUGGGGAGGAGAUCACCACGAGGACCUCCACAUCCGUACCUACUUCUCACCUGAGAUACCUGAGGGCUUCUUCCACAGGUUCCUUGUGAAAGCUUGCUCCUUCUACUCCACGCAUUGGGUGGCCAAGGCAACCUGCCUGCUCGUAUGCAACGGCAAACCUCUGCUGAUUAAAGAGAACAACCAGCGGGCAUACAGCUACCUGGAGCUGAGGUGCAGGAAGCCAGCAGGAGCAACAGCAUUCCAGCUUGCUUGGGACUUCCUCAUGGCAGCUGUGUUUAUCAUCCAGAAGCUCUCUGAAGAGUGGCCAGGGCUGCACGUGUGUGUGAAGACUCCUUGUCGCACGGCCGGCUGUCCCGCAGAGCUCAUCUGGCCAGACAUGGAUGGCAAAACCCCCAUGUAUGUAUGUGCUUGCUCAGCACAGAGCGCUGAAACCUGA